rnacentral:rRNA from 1 species
UGGGGAAUAUUGCACAAUGGGCGCAAGCCUGAUGCAGCCAUGCCGCGUGUGUGAAGAAGGCCUUCGGGUUGUAAAGCACUUUCAGCGAGGAGGAAGGUGGUGAGCUUAAUACGCUCAUCAAUUGACGUUACUCGCAGAAGAAGCACCGGCUAACUCCGUGCCAGCAGCCGCGGUAAUACGGAGGGUGCAAGCGUUAAUCGGAAUUACUGGGCGUAAAGCGCACGCAGGCGGUUUGUUAAGUCAGAUGUGAAAUCCCCGGGCUCAACCUGGGAACUGCAUUUGAAACUGGCAAGCUAGAGUCUCGUAGAGGGGGGUAGAAUUCCAGGUGUAGCGGUGAAAUGCGUAGAGAUCUGGAGGAAUACCGGUGGCGAAGGCGGCCCCCUGGACGAAGACUGACGCUCAGGUGCGAAAGCGUGGGGAGCAAAACAGGAUUAGAUACCCUGGUAGUCCACGCUGUAAAACGAUGUCGAUUUUGGAGGUUGUGCCCUUGAGGCGUGGCUUCCGGAGCUAACGCGUUAAAUCGACCGCCUGGGGAGUACGGCCGCAAGGUUAAAACUCAAAUGAAUUG